GACGAACGCUGGCGGCGUGCUUAACACAUGCAAGUCGAACGGAAAGGCCCUGCUUUUGUGGGGUGCUCGAGUGGCGAACGGGUGAGUAACACGUGAGUAACCUGCCCUUGACUUUGGGAUAACUUCAGGAAACUGCGGCUAAUACCGGAUAGGAGCUCCUGCUGCAUGGUGGGGGUUGGAAAGUUUCGGCGGUUGGGGAUGGACUCGCGGCUUAUCAGCUUGUUGGUGGGGUAGUGGCUUACCAAGGCUUUGACGGGUAGCCGGCCUGAGAGGGUGACCGGCCACAUUGGGCCUGAGGUACGGCCCAGACUCCUACGGGAGGCAGCAGUGGGGAAUAUUGCGCAAUGGGGGGGAGCCUGAUGCAGCAACGCCGCGUGCGGGAUGACGGCCUUCGGGUUGUAAACCGCUUUCGCCUGUGACGAAGCGUGAGUGACGGUAAUGGGUAAAGAAGCACCGGCUAACUACGUG
rnacentral:rRNA from 1 species